GUUGCCAGCACAUUAUGGUGGGGACUCUAAGGAGACUGCCUGGGAUAACUAGGAGGAAGGUGGGGAUGAUGUCAAGUCAGUAUGUCCCUUAUGUCCAGGGCUACACACGUGUUACAAUGGUUGGUACAAUGGGCUGCUAAACCGCAAGGUGGAGCCAAUCCCUAAAACCAACCCCAGUUCGGAUUGGAGUCUGCAACUCGACUCCAUGAAGCAGGAAUCGCUAGUAAUCGUGGAUCAGAACGCCACGGUGAAUACGUUCCCGGGUCUUGUACACACCGCCCGUCACGCCAUGGAAGUCAGUAGUACCCGAAUCGGGUGGCCUAACCUUCGGGAGGGAGCUCGUUAAGGUAAGACUGGUAACUGGGGCGAAGUCGUAACAAGGUAGCCGUACCGGAAGGUGCGGCUGGAUCACCUCCUUUUAAGGAGUAUCUCGAAGUGAUUCGAGAGAGGUCGAACCGGUAAUCGGUAAGACCGUCGCAUGCUAUAUUUUAAUUGCCACUAUAGUGGAUAAUGCUUUUUGGAAAAUUUUUAUUUGAUGAGUAUUUCAUCAGAAUGGGCUUGUAGCUCAGGUGGUUAGAGCGCAUCCCUGAUAAGGAUGAGGUCCGUGGUUCGAGUCCACGCAGGCCCACUUGAUCUGCUGUCAUCCAUUCAGUUUAUGGGGCUGUAGCUCAGUUGGGAGAGCGCCUGAUUUGCAUUCAGGAGGUCGCAGGUUCGAUCCCUGUCAGCUCCACAGCAAAAGAUUUAUUGUUUUUUGACAAUUUGGAAAUUGGAAAGAUUGAAUCACCAAGUCCGGUGAUUCAAUGUAGCCAAGUCAUCUUCAAGAACAACACUUUGGUAAAGCUACUAAGGGUGUACGGGGGAUGCCUAGGCACAUGGAGACGAUGAAGGGCGUGAUAAGCUGCGAUAAGCCUCGGGUAG
rnacentral:sRNA from 1 species